GGACCCCACUGCUAUCGAGGUGGGACUAAGCCAUGCCAGUCGAACGCCCCCGGACUAUGGCGGGGGAGUGGCAGACUGCUCAGUAACACGUAGCUAACCUACCCUCGGGACGGAUAUAACCCCGGGAAACUGGGGCUAAUACCUGAUAGGCGUGGAUUCCUGGAAUGGUUUCACGCUCAAACGUUAGCACGCCCAUAUCGCGUGCACACGCCCGAGGAUGGGGCCGCGGCCGAUCAGGUUGCUGGUGAGGUAACGGCUCACCAAGCCUAUAACCGGUACGGGCCGUGAGAGCGGGAGCCCGGAGAUGGGCACUGAGACAAGGGCCCAGGCCCUACGGGGCGCAGCAGUUGCGAAAACUCCGCAAUACGCGAAAGCGUGACGGGGCUACCCCGAGUGCCGUCCGCUGAGGAUGGCUUUUCCACGGUGUAAGGAGCCGUGGGAAUAAGGAGAGGGCAAGCCUGGUGUCAGCCGCCGCGGUAAUACCAGCUCUCCGAGUGGUGGGGACGAUUAUUGGGCUUAAAGCGUUCGUAGCCGGCUCAGCAAGUCUUCCGUUAAAUCCAACGAUCUAAUCGUUGGGCUGCGGGAGAUACUGUUGGGCUAGGGGGCGGGAGAAGCCGACGGUAUCCUCGGGGUAGGGGUGAAAUCCUAUAAUCCCGGGAAGACCACCAGUGGCGAAGGCGGUCGGCUAGAACGCGCCCGACGGUGAGGGACGAAAGCUGGGGGAGCGAACCGGAUUAGAUACCCGGGUAGUCCCAGCCGUAAACGAUGCGGGCUAGGUGUUGGGGCGGUCACGAACCGCCUCAGUGCCGCACGGAAGCAAUUAAGCCCGCCGCCUGGGGAGUACGGUCGCAAGGCUGAAACUUAA
rnacentral:rRNA from 1 species